ensembl:rRNA 5S_rRNA 5S ribosomal RNA
UUCUAUGCCCAUACCACGCUCAAUGUGCCCGAUCUCGUCUGAUCUUGGAAGCUAAGGAGGGUCAGGCCUGGUUAGUACUUGGAUGGGAGAAAUGAAAUUCAAUUUUAGAAG